UACAGAGGUCCCAAGCGUUGUUCAGAUUCACUGGGCGUAAAGGGUGCGUAGGUGGUCGGGUAAGUCUGAUGUGAAAUCUCCGAGCUUAACUCGGAAAUGGCAUUGGAUACUAUUCGGCUAGAGGGUUUGAGGGGGGACUGGAAUACUUGGUGUAGCAGUGAAAUGCGUAGAUAUCAAGUGGAACACCAGUGGCGAAGGCGAGUCCCUGGAAAACUCCUGACACUGAGGCACGAAAAGCUAGGGGAGCAAACAGG
rnacentral:rRNA from 1 species